UACGAAGGGUGCUAGCGUUGCUCGGAAUCACUGGGCGUAAAGCGCACGUAGGCGGAUCUUUAAGUCAGGGGUGAAAUCCUGGAGCUCAACUCCAGAACUGCCUUUGAUACUGGGGAUCUCGAGUCCGGAAGAGGUGAGUGGAACUCCGAGUGUAGAGGUGAAAUUCGUAGAUAUUCGGAAGAACACCAGUGGUGAAGGCGGCUCACUGGUCCGGUACUGACGCUGAGGUGCGAAAGCGUGGGGAGCAAACAGG
rnacentral:rRNA from 1 species